rnacentral:rRNA from 1 species
CUAGACUCCUACGGGAGGCAGCAGUGGGGGAUAUUGCACAAUGGGGGAAACCCUGAUGCAGCGACGCCGCGUGGGCGAAGAAGUAUUUCGGUAUGUAAAGCCCUAUCAGCAGGGAAGAAGAAAUGACGGUACCUGAAGAAGAAGCCCCGGCUAACUACGUGCCAGCAGCCGCGGUAAUACGUAGGGGGCAAGCGUUAUCCGGAUUUACUGGGUGUAAAGGGGGCGCAGACGGCGAUGCAAGCCAGGAGCGAAAGCCCGGGGCCCAACCCCGGGACUGCUCUUGGAACUGCGUGGCUAGAGUGCGGGAGGGGCAGGCGGAAUUCCUGGUGUAGCGGUGAAAUGCGUAGAUAUCAGGAGGAACACCGGUGGCGAAGGCGGCCUGCUGGACUGCAACUGACGUUGAGGCCCGAAAGCGUGGGGAGCAAACAGGAUUAGAUACCCCAGUAU